GAGGGCCCGCACAAGCAGCGGAGCGUGUGGUUUAAUUCGAUGUUACACGAAGAACCUUACCAGGGUUUGACAUGCAAGUGGUAGGAAGCCGAAAGGUGACCGACCUUCGGGAGCUUGCACAGGUGCUGCAUGGCUGUCGUCAGCUCGUGUCGUGAGAUGUUCGGUUAAGUCCGCUAACGAGCGCAACCCUCGCUGUGUGUUACAAGUGUCACACGGUACUGCCGGUCUUAAGCCGGAGGAAGGUGGGGAUGACGUCAAGUCAGCAUGGCCUUUAUGUCCUGGGCUACACACACGCUACAAUGGCCAACACAAUAGGUUGCUAAGCCGCGAGGUGGAGCCAAUCCUCAAAGUUGGUCUCAGUUCAGAUUGCAGGCUGCAACCCGCCUGCAUGAAGAUGGAGUUGCUAGUAACCGCAGGUCAGCUAUACUGCGGUGAAUACGUUCCCGGGGCUU
rnacentral:rRNA from 1 species